GUUCAAUUAAUGAAUAAUUAGUUUGAUUAUUUUCCUCUUUAUUUGACCUUAGGAACAGUUUUUAAGGUAUACUCUGAAUUGCAAAUUUUUGUCAUAACUCUUGGUAAUCAAGGCUAGAAGUGUACUAUUUUUGCUUUCUGCACAAGGUUUUUUCUUCGGUACGACACAAAAACAACUAUUGUGUCGCAGUCCAUAGAAGGAGCAAGAAAAAAGAAUGUCUUUAAAGGCGAAUGUGAUGCUAUGCUUUCUAGUACCUACUGUGCCGAAUAAUGUGUAAGUCUCAAAAUUCUUUUCUUCCAAAGCAUAUCCAUAAUAUUUACCUUACGCUGGAUAUUUUUUUUUUGUUCACUCCAGAUCUAGUUUUUUUUUUAAACUUGAUCCCAACGUAACUAAAUAUAAACAAGACAAAGCUCGAAAUAAUAUAAUGUAAUUUAGCGAAUGUAGUGUUUAUAUCACCACAUUUGGAGAAUGUACAAUGAAUAGUUUCUCUGUCUCUAAUGAAAGAAGAAUUUAAUUUG
rnacentral:sRNA from 1 species